GGCCCUGCGGCGCUCCCCACCCCCGCUCACCCCCCACGCCCUGGCCCCUGCAUCUUCCAGGCCUGAUGCAGCAGCUGAAUCAGCAGCAGGGAAGGACCCCAGACCAAUAUAGCCCUGUCCCUAGGGGACCUGCUGCUGGAGAAGGGCGGGCGACAGGUGGGAGAGACCUUGGCGGGAGCCUGGUGCAGGGGCUGAGCGCGGGCUCCACCUUACAGCCGCCUUCUCGGCCGCUCAGCCUCCAGACCCUCCGGGGACCUUUCCUCCUCCCGACCCUGCUGUUCUGGUCCCGCCCCAGCCCUCAUUGGGAGUUUGGGUUCUAAGUAGUUACGGGUGUAAGUGCUGGGAUCAGACAGACCUUGGGGGACUCAUCAGGGAAACAGGGUGGGUGUUCCGAGUCUACUUGCUGUGUGAGUUACUGGACAGUGUGCUUCGGGCACUCGUCACACCGGGCUGUCCCUUAACGCACACGCUUUGUUUUUGGUGACAGUCAACCACUUCCGGCAGGUUUCCUUCACAUCUCUCUGCCCUGCAUGCUUUGUGCUCAGCCCCCAGAGAGGUGGGACCAUGACGACCUCCAGGGCAAAGUGGACCAGCUCACAAAACAACAGCCAGUACAGGGAUGAAGAGGAAGGAGGAGCCACCUCUAAGGGUGCAAGGGAGGGGCGGGGGAGGGGGCAAGGGCCCAGGGCUCCUCCUCUUCCUCCCCAGACACAGCCAGGAGCCUGGGCCCCCUCUUCUCAGGCUCCGGAGACCAGACCUUUGGGAAUGUCCGUCCCCCUGAGCAGAGCCAGGGGUGAAGGGGCAGGGCGCUUCACCCAAAGUCAAGGCUACGGGAUCCAGAAUGAUGGGAUGGGGUGGAGGUGCCGGAGGGCAGGGACCAGCGUCCCAUCCCCAGAGGAAAGCUGUGUCCCACAUUUGCCACUCACCGUGGGACGCUUCCCAAGUCCUGUUGGACCUUGGGUUCUUCAUGGACGACCUAAGGUCUUUCCUAGCACCAAGCUCCACGACUGGCUACCGAUUCAGCAGGAAAGCGCCUCUCCCACCGCACACAGGCUGCGCUGGCCCUCCACUUCCCCAGUGCCCUCAGUCCAGCCCCAGGACUGCCUGUCUCUUUCCUCCCAGGUAAUCCAUCCCAGCAUCUCUGCCCUGACUCAUGCUCUCUCAGAUGCACCCAAUUCAUAACCCCAGCUCCCCCGCCAGCCCUGGGACGGCCCCCGCACGGGAAAUUCUUCUUCUGCUGAGUUCAGUAGUAGGUCUCUCUCUCCAGCCACCCUGUGGAUGAGAGGAGACCAGAGUGAACUGGGGAAGGUGGAGGGGAGCCCCUAAGGAGGGAGGAAAAGGCAUGGGGAGAGAGGGACCUGGCCCCCUGGGAACAAGGUGGGAGGGGAGAGCUGGUCGGAGGCUGGAGAUGCCUUGGAGCAAAGAGUGGGGGCCCUCACCGCCAGGAUGACUUCGGAUGAGCUGUACGACUGCUCGAUGAACUUGAGGAGGGCUGACUCGGAGGCGUCCCCUGUCGUCUCCCACUGCCAGGACGGGGUUUGCACGGUGAGCGCGAGGAGUACCGCACAGGGUGAGGGGUGCGAUGGGGAGGACCUGGGGACAAUACCUGAGCGCCAGGAUAGAGAUUUCUGGGGGAGAGGGCGGGGCACACCCGGACCCCGAGGCGUCGGCUGCCCCCACGGCAUCGGCUGCCCCCACAGGCCUGAUACCUUAGCAAUGGGAAGGUUCUCCUGGUGAGCCUUAAAGUCGGCUCGGUUGCAGAGGCCGGCGAUCCGGGCCAGGAUGAACCAGGUCACAGAGCUCUUGGUGAAUGUUUUCCCUAGGGAAAAGCAGCGGCUGGUGAGCAGGGUGGGGGGCGGGGAGUGUGAAGCCGGUGACUUCCUCGCCUCCUGCUCGACAGGACAUCCCUCGUCCGUGCUCAGGACCCAGUUGUCCUCUGUGUCCGCGCUCCCUCGGCCCCCACGCCACCCCCGGCCCCUCCACGGCUGGCCGCCCCACACCGCUCGAGUCACCGGUCUGGUCCUCCCUGGUGUCGGCCUUGUAUAUGGUCUUGUCGAACCACAGGUGGGCGACGGUCAUGCGGUUCUGGGUGAGGGUGCCCGUCUUGUCGGAGCAGAUGGUGGAUGUGGAGCCGAGCGUCUCCACGGCCUCCAGGUUCUUCACCAGGCAGUUCUUAUGCGCCAUGCGCUUGGCUGUCAGGGUCAGACACACCUGGGGCCACAAAGAGGGCUGAGAAUUAGCGGAGACGAGGAGGCCAGCUGCUCACACCAGUUUGCGUUCUGGAAAUCUGGUCAUUUGUAUCGCUUUUGUAAUUUUUGGUACUUCUUUCCCUUUUGUUUCCACCCAUUUCGCAAUUCCACCUGAGGCCACGGUAAAGAAAACCAGGAGAGUGACUGUGCUCGUGCUUUACCGCAGAGCUCGGAGAAGAAAACAGGAGAAUCCUGAAGCUGAGAAGGAAUAUUGCAACACUGGAAAGGACUUGAGAGAUCGUUUAUAAACUGGGACAUUUUUGUUGACAUUAAUUAUAUGGACCAUAAAUUCAGUGAAGGUCAGGUGUGUGUAGCAGGUUUGUUUUAAAAACUAAUCAGUUCUUGGGCUAUGGUUAUAUCAAUACAGAAAUCCAAUUGUGGGGUUAUGAUUUAUUUACAUACUAUCACUAGUCCCGAGGUUUUGGUGCUAACCAACUGCGCCCUGAGUAGUGUUCUCAUUUCUGUUUUAUCUCGUACUGUAGUAUCUCAUUAUCCAUUUCUAUUUGUACUGAUGAAUGGGAGCACCCCCCCCAACAAGUGGUCAGUAAGCUAAGGGCGUGAAGACCAUUUUCCUGUGAAGAGUGGCGAGAGGAAAGGGGGUGAUUUCACCUCCCACCAGAGUUUGAGGACACAUGAUGGCUCCCAUCAGUCAAACGCGUAAUUUGUGGAAGAGAGAAAAAUGACUUGUUUUGUGUCUCUUCAGAUGGGAAAACUGGGACCCAACAGGAAGUCAUAAUUCUGCUCAACACGAUGAAAUCCAGCUAGAGCAAGCCCGUGGCAAAAUGAGCAGAGACUGAAAGGGGAGGCGCUCCCAGGACUAGAAACACUCAUCAUCUCCCAUGGAUUGUAUGUAAGAUAUUCAAGUUUGGUGAAAGGUUGGAUUUCUAUGGGCUUUGAAGUCCUUUCCAAUAAGAUUCUAUAAUUCUGAGUUAAUCUUCCUCUAGAAACUGAUGAUUAAUCAAACUGACACCUGGAGAUAUUCAGUGAUUUGACCAAGUUCACUGUACAGCCCAGAUUGGAACUCACUGCUGGUGACUCAGAAUCUAAAUGCUUCCUGUAUCACAACUCCUGGAGAAGAAAGAGAAGGCACUAGAAAAUAUGGGUGGGGGGAGGUCAGUGUCCUGUGGGCGCUAAGCGGUGGACACGUGUGCGCACAUCAGGAGUCCUCUGCACUAGAAAGAUCCAACAGCAGAAGAGAUACAUGGUUUCAUCCCUUGGGGUGGCGUGUCUGCCCAGAGGCCCCCCUCCACCUAAGCUACUCACCGUGACGGUGGCCAGCAGCCCCUCGGGCACAUUGGCCACAAUGAUGCCAAUGAGAAAGAUGACAGCCUCCAGCCAGCCAUAGCCCAAGAUAAUUGAGAGCCCGAAGAAAGUGACACCAAGGAAGACGGCCACCCCUGUGAUCAGAUGGAUGAAAUGUUCGAUCUCCAUGGCGAUGGGGGUCUUGCCGACCACCAGGCCUGACGUCAGAGAGGCGAUGCGGCCCAUCACCGUGGAGUCUCCCGUCGCGAUCACAAUGCCCCGAGCCGUUCCUGUGGAACGAGGGGGAGGUCUGAGGCGGGGGGCGCUGCAGGCUUGUUUCUACGAGGAGAGCCACUGUCCGUGGUCCAGGCAAGGUGGACACUUAAGACCCUCCGAGAGCUUCUAGUAUUCUAUCGCCCCAUAUUUAGUUUACACAAGUGAGGUUCUCCCCGUCUGAAAAAUCUCUGAGAUUUCACAGUUCUCCGAUUUUAUCGACUCAUGGCCUUCCCCGUCAAGGUCUUGAUCACCCUUCAUCUAAAUGUCUUCUAUUGUCUGUACGUUUCUUAUUUUGUCCUGAAUGGACAAAAUGCAGCUGAAUGGUUUCUAGAUCCCCAGGAAUCAGGGUCUCCUUCUGCUAGAGUCCUCCCUCCCAGCAUCUGGUUCUCCCCUGUCCCAGAGGUUCUCAGCUUCUCAAGGGACACUAGGCGAUGCCUGGAGGUCUCUCUGCGGUCACAGCUGGGGUGGGAGGGGCUGCUCCUGGCAGCGGGCGGGUAGAGGGCAGGGGUGUAGCUCCACAUCCUGCAAAUGACGGGAGCGCCCCCUUACACCCCCUCCAGGGGAGAAUUAUCCUGCCCUAACUGGUGACAGUAGGGAGGCUGGGGAGCCGUUCUGGCUGGAGCCCCUCCCCGCUCCGCCUGCUGGAACCAGCCUGACCCCUGCCGGGGAGCAGACGCCAUAACAGCUGGGCUUCGGGGCCUCUCCCUCGGCCAAUGCCCCCCUGCCCUGAGUCAGAAGGGGGACCUGGACAUCAUGUCUGGCUUUACCUGCACGGGAUGCUGGCCCCUCACCUACGUGGCUUGAAACAAGGUUCUUGGCUCAAAACCAUUUUUCCUGCUUUAUCAAAAUAAUGGCUGAAAUUCCUACCCUUCCAAGGCACGGUCUGAAUCACCCAGAAAAGUGACGUAUCCUAGAAAUAUCACUUAUGUUAGAAGCAGAAGGGCUCUGGCUGGAAGUUCAGCUUUUCAGCGAGGCCCCUGGGAGCCCUGGGGCUCCGUGCACGCCCGACCCUCAGGCUGCCUCGGCUCUGAGAAGGGGAUGGAGGCAUGGAGGAAGCAGGGGGACAGUAAAGGUUAUUCAGGGAGCCUAGAGCGGGAAUGGGCACAUCGUAGGCACGCCAGUGUUGGCUUCUUUCUUUUCUUCACAUGUGGGACUGGGUUGGGGGUUUCUACUCUGACAGCACCCACAAACGCUGUUUCCGGGGUGGCCUCCUGCUGUGGGAGUCUGAGAGCGGGGUCCCGCCCAGAUGGCCACGAGGGGCAGGUGGGGUUCUGGGGAGGAGCGGCCUCGCUGCGAGGCCCUCUGCAGAUGGGCUCCCCACCUGCUGCCCGCCGGAGGGCUGCCCUCCGGAGGCGUUCAUGGAGGCUUGGCGAAGACACUACGGUAACCGAGAGGUGCUGAGAGGGUUUGGGGUUUGGGGCGGGGCUGGACUAUGCCACUACCUGGGUCUAUUUUGUGCCAAGGUUUGGUCUAGUUCUUCCUUUUUACUCCUUCAUGGGUUUCCCUAUGCGCAGAGAGGCAGGAUCUAGUAUCGAAUCCCACGUGUCUGGAGACAGGAUGGGUGGGUGUCAGCCCGGGGAAAAUCAAGGCCACGGGCAGGCCUCCCAUACCCCAGGCCAGACUGAUGCCUCCGUGCUCCUGUAUAUGGCCAGGGAGACAGGUCCGGCCCCAUGGAGAUGCAUGAGAACACAAAGACAGACGACAUCUGUAUCCGCAGCCCCAUCGGCCAUGAAAGUAGGAGGUGAGGGUCUGGGAGAAAGAUUAGAGGUGGCUCCUCAUUUGCAAAGUGCACAGACGUUUCCCGGUUCAGAGUCAGGAGCUCUUCGACCUGGCUCCAUGCCCUCGCCACAUCUCAUGUCCUUCUGGUCUUCGACUAAGGCCCCCUCCAUCCCGGCCAGACCCUUAUUUCUGGAGAGGGAUGUCACCACCCACUUUCCUCCCCUUACCUGAAUACACUUUGCUGACCAAAAACCUGCUUAAGAAGGACAAAUGUGAGCAAAACUUUCCCCUAAAAUUUAAUAAUGCAAAUCUAGUGUUUUUGAAGGAAGCUUGCUAACCUGCCUCUUUCUGUCUGAUCAAAAUUAAAAAAUUUUUUUUUCAAUAUA